rnacentral:rRNA from 1 species
CCCUUAGAUGUCCGGGGCCGCACGCGCGCUACACUGAAGGAAUCAGCGUGGCUUUCUCCCUGACCCGAAAGGGUUGGGAAACCCGUUGAAUCUCCUUCGUGAUAGGGAUUGGGGCUUGAAAUUGUUCCCCAUGAACGAGGAAUUCCCAGUAAGCGCGAGUCAUAAGCUCGCGUUGAUUACGGCCCUGCCCUUUGUACACACCGCCCGUCGCUACUACCGAUUGAACGGUUUAGUGAGGGCCUCGGAUUGGUCUCGGCCCGCUCUUUACCGGGCGGCGCCGUUGGUCGAGAAGACGCUCGAACUUGAUCGUUUAGAGGAAGUAAAAGUCGUAACA